rnacentral:lncRNA from 1 species
ACCUCUGCUGCACCGCAGCCCCCCGCCGCGCCGCACGGCGCACGCGCACGAGCGGGGAGGGGAGAGAAAAAGAGAGAGGGAGGGAGAGGGAGGAGGGAGGGAGAGGAGGGAGAAAGCGCGCGCGCGCGCUCGGGGAGGCCGGAGCGCGCCGGCGCGCCCCCCUGGCUGCGUUUGGCGCGCGCGCGCCGCCUCCUCCCCCCAUUCAUCCGCCGCGGGGGCUUGAAUUCGGCGCCGCCGCCUCGCGGAGCAACCCCCGGGGCGCCCUGAUUGGCAGGCGCCUGGCUCCCGGCCAGCCUAUUGGGAGGCGCGGCGGGGGCGGGGGCGGGAAAGGGAGGAGAAGGGAGAGGGAGAGAGGGGAAAGAGAGAGAGAGAGGGGCCGGCGGGGCGCGAGCGCCGCGCGGCGGCCAAUCAGGGGGCGCGCGCGCGGCACGCGCUUAUUAGCAUGCGGGGCGCGUCGCGCGGCGGAGUGCGCGGCGGGCGGGGAGGCGCGGCGGGGCCCCCGCUCCCUUUCUGCAGGCGCAGCCGGUGCAUGGGCAGUGCGCGGGGGGACCGGCGGAGCUCAGCUACCGCCACCGCCGCUACCACCGUGCGCACCCCGGCGGGGCCGCCCCGCGCCGCUCCCUCUCUUCGCCGUGCCCCCCCCUCGCCGCGCGGAACGCCCCUCCGGUGAGUGCCGGGCACUUGGGGCGCGGGCGGUUUUUUGUUUGCGCUGCUGCUCGCCGGGGCGGGAGGUGGGGGGGGGGGAAAAAAAGGGGGGGGGUUCUGUGUGUGUGUGGUGUGUGUGUAUGGAUGGUGCUGGGGGGGGGCCGAGAGGCUUUCAGCGAUUUUUUUUUAAAUUUUAUUAUUUUUGCCCUUUUUUAUUUAUUUUUAUUUUUUUUGCGUUAUUUCGGAUUUAUUUUUUUAUUUCGGAUUUAUUUUUUCAUUUCGGAUUUAUUUUUUUUUCCGCCUUCUCUAAAAAAAAAAAAAAAUAAAAAUUGCGAUUUUCUCCCUCGUGUUCAUUUUGAUUUUUAUUUUUCAAAUUAUAAUUUCCCCGUUUAUUUUUAUUUU